GUCGGGAUACCUUUAUUGAUUGAAUCCAUCCCAAGAAUUAUUGCCCGAGGAGAUAUUUAAGAUAAAGUAGUAUAUAGGUCACAGCCUUGUUUAAACAUUUGGGCUUCAAAUCAUUUACAAACUUACAAAAAUCUAAAUAAAUUUCAUUUUGCUUCUCAUUUCUAAGGUUUUCUUUUUUUUAAAGUCAGAUUUGGGGACUCCGUUUGAUGAAAAUGUUGCAAUUUUAUUUUUUGAGUUUUUUUAUUAAAAUGUCCCCAAAAUGAAGGAUUGGUUGUAGUUCACUAUUUUUGUCUCAGGCCUAACAUUAAGUUUAAUCAAGCUACUCUUAGCAGAAGUAAUUCAGAUCUGAAGAGUAAGGACUUGUCCAAGGUCACUGGCUUACUGGUAGAUUAGGUACUAGAACUCAGAUUUCAACUCCAGCAGAAAAAUAUGGCUCAGGAGACUAACCAGACCCCAGGGCCCAUGCUGUGUAGUACAGGAUGUGGCUUUUAUGGAAAUCCUAGGACAAAUGGAAUGUGUUCUGUUUGCUACAA